ACGACACUGUUAAUCAGCAAUGGAUUGAACAAGAAAACAUUGCAAGACAUCCGCAUAGAAGCCACACGGACAGAUGUGAAAACAGUAGCGGAAUCGCCAUAAGACAAGCAAUUACGGCUUAUUUUUCCACAAUGACGUAGUGGAUCCAUUUCAUCAACGUAUCAGCUGAACCGACUAAUGACUCCGAACCCGUGGAAUAAAAACAUACAUACAUAUAAUAUAUUAUUUCAUGUAAAAUCUUUGAUAUUUUAUACGAAUCGUUUUCAAUGCUCUCAUCUGCCAAUUCUUGUGUGAAAUUUGACUUGUAACCGCCACCUAUUUUGUGGAUAUCUUCAUAGUACUCCUCCACUUUGGCCAAUAAUCUUCCUUUCCGGUCUGAUACAUUAAUAUUAAUUCAAUUAGUACAUAAUUUUUGUAAUUAUUUACGAAGCUAUACUUUUUUCCAUGUUGUCUAUACGAUUUCGCAGCUCGUCCAGUGCCAGCGAAAUCCGUGCUCAUUUGCCAGCUGUGUGCAUAUUUUAGCAUAAAUGUGGCUAUUUUAAUGUAUUCCACGCAACUGUGGAUUACACUCUGCCCAAACAGAGAACUUAAAGCAUAGAGAAGGUGCAAAUUGAAUUCUGUAUGAUGUUCGAUUUGACGGCUAACAGAGCUGUUAGAAUUGUAGUAAGGAAUUCACCAUUUUCGCUGCUAUUUAGCAGAAAUGAGCACGUUCUCUGGCAGAAAUAUAUGUAAAACGACUAAAUUCAUGCGAGAAUAAAUGAAGAGAAAUGCUUUGAAGAAAAAUAUACAAAGUCACACAGAGAACGUAAAAAAGCAUUCUCUGAGUCACAUAUGCGUGAUUAUUUUGUAUUAUUUGAACCAUUGUUUUCCGAAAAAUAGUAAAAAUUUUAAUUUUUUUUUUACAAAAUCGGGAAAAAUUAGGUAAAAAUAAUUUUAAUUUUAUUUCUCUUUAAUUUUUUUUUUAUUUUUUU